rnacentral:rRNA from 1 species
GACGAACGCUGGCGGCGUGCUUAACACAUGCAAGUUGAACGGAAAGGCCCUGCUUUUGUGGGGUGCUCGAGUGGCGAACGGGUGAGUAACACGUGAGUAACCUGGCCUUGAUUUUGGGAUAACUUCAGGAAACUGGGGCUACUACCGGAUAGGAGCUCCUGCUGCAUGGUGGGGGUUGGAACGUUUCGCCGGUCGGGGAUGGACUCGCGGCUUAUCAGCUUGGUGGUUGGGUGGUUGCCUACCAAGGCUUUGACGGGCAGCCGGCCUGAGAGGGUGGCCGGCCACAUCGGGGCUGGAGGACGCCCCAGACUCCUACCGGAGGCAGUAGUGAGGUAUUUUGCCCACUGGGCGGAAGCCAGAUGCAGCAACGCCGCCUGCGGGAUGACGGCCUUCGGGUUGUAGACCGCUUUCGCCUGUGCCGAAGCGUGAGUGCCCGUAAUGGGUAAAGAAGCACCGGCUAACUACGUG